rnacentral:rRNA from 1 species
AUUGAACGCUGGCGGCAGGCCUAACACAUGCAAGUCGAGCGAGCGGCGGACGGGUGAGUAAUGUCUGGGAAACUGCCUGAUGGAGGGGGAUAACUACUGGAAACGGUAGCUAAUACCGCAUACCAUCAGAUGUGCCCAGAUGGGAUUAGCUAGUAGGUGGGGUAUUGGCUCACCUAGGCGACGAUCCCUAGCUGGUCUUGGAGGAUGACCAGCAACACUGGACCGGGGACAGGGUCCAGACUCCUACGGGAGGAAGCAGUGGGAAAUAUGGCACAAUGGGCGCAAGCCUGAUGAAGCCAGGCCGCGUGUAUGAGGAGGGCCUUCGGGUUGGAAAGUACUUUCAGCGGGGAGGCGUUACCCGCAGAAGAAGGACCGGCUAACUCCGUGCCAGCAGCCGCGGUAAUAC